rnacentral:misc_RNA from 1 species
GGCACCUGUUUACCCACGGUUGGCUCAAGGAAAAUCUUGGAAUGAAAUGACUGUGACAUGGACUAGUGGAUACAGUAUUGAUGAGGCAGUACCAUUUGUUGAAUGGGGUAUUCAAGGAGAAGCCCAGACACGUUCCCCGGCUGGGACACUGACAUUCAGUAGAGACAGUAUGUGUGGUUCGCCUGCACGAACUGUGGGGUGGCG